GGAAGUGUAGCUCAAGUGGUAGAGCGCAUGCUUAGCAUGCAUAAGGUCCUGGGUUCAAUCCCCAGUACUUCUU
rnacentral:tRNA from 1 species